GAUGAACGCUAGCGGCAGGCUUAAUACAUGCAAGUCGAGGGGUAACAGGUCUGUAGCAAUACAGAUGCUGACGACCGGCAAACGGGUGCGAAACACGUACAGAACCUUCCUUCGAGUGGGAGAUAGCCCAGGGAAACUUGGAGUAAUAUCCCAUAGGAUCAUAGAGUGGCAUCACUUAGUGAUUAAAGAUUUAUCGCUUGAAGAUGGCUGUGCGGCUGAUUAGGUAGUUGGUGUAGGUAACGGCUCACCAAGCCUUCGAUCAGUAACUGGUGUGAGAGCACGACCAGUCACACGGGAACUGAGACACGGGCCCGACUCCUACGGGAGGCAGCAGUAAGGAAUAUUGGGCAAUGGAGGCAACUCUGACCCAGCCAUGCCGCGUGGAGGAUGAAGGUCCUCUGGAUUGUAAACUUCUUUUAUUUGGGAAGAAAUGCCGAUUUUCUAAUUGGUUUGACGGUACCAGAUGAAUAAGCACCGGCUAACUCCGUGCCAGCCGCCGCCGUAACAC
rnacentral:rRNA from 1 species